UACGGAGGGGGCUAGCGUUGUUCGGAAUUACUGGGCGUAAAGCGCGCGUAGGCGGACCUGCAAGUUGGGGGUGAAAGCCCGGGGCUCAACCUCGGAAUUGCCUUCAAUACUGGCUGUCUUGAGUGUGAGAGAGGUGUGUGGAACUCCGAGUGUAGAGGUGAAAUUCGUAGAUAUUCGGAAGAACACCAGUGGCGAAGGCGACACACUGGCUCACUACUGACGCUGAGGCGCGAAAGCGUGGGGAGCAAACAGG
rnacentral:rRNA from 1 species